rnacentral:misc_RNA from 1 species
AAGAGUGAAUUAUAAUUAACCAUUUGUCUUUCCUUGUUAUUUUUACAUUUUUAAGGUUUUGAUUUGUUAUUAUUACCAUACAAUGUUUCAUUGAAACAAGACUUUUUAAUGCACAUUUUUCCAUGAUAAAGAGUUUGAAAUGAUGUAAUUGUUUUUUCAUGCAGUUGUUAAUGCUAGUAUCAGUGGUAUGAUAUAAUAGUACCAGAAGUCUCUUGAUUAACUUGAUUUAUAUCAACUAAUAAACAACAUAAUAAACACUUAUUGUGUGUAAAAUCAUGAAAUAAGUUUAACAUGGACAUUAAUUUAUACAUGUAUGUCAAGCUAGUUUGCUUCCUACGUAAGUUCUUAACCAUUAAUUGCAGUAAAUAAAAAUAGGUAUCAAUUCAACAUUCUGUUAUCUUAUCAGUCGAACAUGCAAUGCAUAUGAGAGUACAUGUUGUCGCCACUCCACGCUGACCCGUGGCUGGUAGACCUAAUUUUAGGAAAAUGUCACCAAUGCAAUUAUUGUAUUUAUGGAUUUCCGUAUAUAAAUUGAUUUUUGAUUUCAUGUC